GAGUCGAGGCCGGCCGACGGAGGUAAACCCUCUGCCGGCCCUGUCUAUAGGUGUAUUUAUGCUAAGGAUGGCCUUGUGGAUUUGCCUCCUGGAUUUGAGUCUCCGUGGGAGUUCUUCAGUGGAUCAGCUAAAAGAUUCCCUCAGAAUUCAAUGCUUGGUCGUCGCCAGAUCAUCGACGGGAAGGUGGGUUCAUAUGUAUGGGAAACAUAUGAAGAGGUUUAUGAUACAGCAAUCAAGAUAGGGUGGGCUAUUCGAGGGCUUGGUAUUAAUCCAGGAGGUUGCUGUGGUAUUUACGGAUCGAACUGUCCUGAAUGGAUGAUAGCAAUGGAGGCAUGUAGCAGCCAAGGAAUAUGUUAUGUUCCUUUAUAUGACACCCUUGGUCCUCAUGCAGUAGAGUUUAUCAUCAACCAUGCAGAGGUCUCAGUUGCUUUUGUUCAAGAAAGCAAAAUACCAUCUGUAUUGUUGUGCCUUCCAAGGUGCGCUGUACAUCUCAAAUCAAUAGUCAGCUUUGGAUCAAUUACCGCCGAACAGAGAAAGGAAGCUGAAAACUCCGGUAUCUCUUGCUUUUCAUGGAAGGAAUUUGUUUCAUCGGUAAACGUCAAUGACAC
rnacentral:misc_RNA from 1 species